rnacentral:rRNA from 1 species
CCUACGGGCGGCAGCAGUGGGGGAUAUUGCACAAUGGGGGGAACCCUGAUGCAGCGACGCCGCGUGGGUGAAGAAGCGCCUCGGCGCGUAAAGCCCUGUCAGCAGGGAAGAAAAUGACGGUACCUGAAGAAGAAGCCCCGGCUAACUACGUGCCAGCAGCCGCGGUAAUACGUAGGAGGCAAGCGUUAUCCGGAAUGACUGGGCGUAAAGGGUGCGUAGGUGGUUUGGCAAGUUGGUAGCGUAAUCCCGGGGCUCAACCUCGGUGCUACUACCAAAACUGUUGAACUUGAGUGCAGGAGGGGUGAAUGGAAUUCCCAGUGUAGCGGUGGAAUGCGUAGAUAUUGGGAAGAACACCAGCGGCGAAGGCGAUUCACUGGACUGGAACUGACACUGAGGCAUGAAAGCGUGGGGAGCAAACAGGAUUAGAUACCCGAGUAGC